AGGAGGUCCGAGACACCUCCCGGGUCAACAAGCUCCCUGACGUGACCAAAGAGCCUGGCCUGGCCCCUAAGGCAGAACUUCCCCGCUGCAUCGCGCUGCAGGCACGAAUAUGCCCUGAGGAGAC